UGAACGCUGGCGGCGUGCUUAACACAUGCAAGUCGCACGAGAACGCUUUAGCUUGCUAAAGUUAGUAAAGUGGCGAACGGGUGAGUAACGCGUGGGUAAUCUACCCUUGAGUUCGGGAUAACAUUGCGAAAGCGAUGCUAAUACCGGAUGACAUCUUUCAAACUUCUGUUUUUAAGAUCAAAGGUGGCCUCUUCUUGAAAGCUACUGCUUGGGGAUGAGCCCGCGUACCAUUAGCUUGUUGGUAGGGUAAUGGCCUACCAAGGCUACGAUGGUUAGCUGGUCUGAGAGGAUGAUCAGCCACACUGGAACUGACACACGGUCCAGACUCCUACGGGAGGCAGCAGUGAGGAAUUUUGCGCAAUGGGGGAAACCCUGACGCAGCAACGCCGCGUGAGUGAUGAAGGCCUUCGGGUCGUAAAGCUCUGUCAAGUGGGAAGAACCAGAUUGAUGUUAAUACCAUCUUUCUCUGACGGUACCACUGAAGGAAGAACCGGCUAACUCC
rnacentral:rRNA from 1 species